GAUGAACGCUAGCGGCAGGCUUAAUACAUGCAAGUCGAGGGGCAGCAUGAUUGUAGCAAUACAAUUGAUGGCGACCGGCAAACGGGUGCGGAACACGUACACAACCUUCCAACAAGUGGGGGAUAGCCCAGAGAAAUUUGGAUUAAUACCCCGUAACAUAGCGAUGUGGCAUCACAUUGCUAUUAUAGAUUUUUCGCUUGUUGAUGGGUGUGCGGCUGAUUAGAUAGUUGGCGGGGUAACGGCCCACCAAGUCUACGAUCAGUAGCUGAUGUGAGAGCAUGAUCAGCCACACGGGCACUGAGACACGGGCCCGACUCCUACGGGAGGCAGCAGUAAGGAAUAUUGGACAAUGGACGCAAGUCUGAUCCAGCCAUGCCGCGUGAAGGAUUAAGGUCCUCUGGAUUGUAAACUUCUUUUAUAAGGGACGAAAAAAGGCUUUUCUAGGUCGUCUGACGGUACCUUAUGAAUAAGCACCGGCUAACUCCGUGCCAGCAGCCGCAGUAA
rnacentral:rRNA from 1 species